UACGAAGGGUGCAAGCGUUAAUCGGAAUUACUGGGCGUAAAGCGCGCGUAGGUGGUUCAGUAAGUUGGAUGUGAAAUCCCCGGGCUCAACCUGGGAACUGCAUCCAAAACUGCUGAGCUUGAGUACGGUAGAGGGUGGUGGAAUUUCCUGUGUAGCGGUGAAAUGCGUAGAUAUAGGAAGGAACACCAGUGGCGAAGGCGACCACCUGGACUGAUACUGACACUGAGGUGCGAAAGCGUGGGGAGCAAACAGG
rnacentral:rRNA from 1 species